AGACCUACUUAAGGAGCUCCAGGAUCAUCAUUCAUCGCCAGUUCGUUGCCCCUGAUGGAUCAUCUAAACCCACGAGUGGACGCCCAAAUCUACUUCCAUCCAAGCGGAGGAUACCCCCAGAAAACCUACCUCCUUCCAGCGCGCCGUCUGAACUCCAGGCCUCAGCUCAAGCCACAGCCGAACCUCCAGCCACGCCACAGGCCACAGCCGAAUCACCCGCCUCGUCCAAGGUUCGCCCGGAGCCGUCACAGGAUUCCUAGACUCGUCAUCAAGAUCGCAGACGGGUCGUCGGUCUCGCCAUCCCCUGCCACAACAGGACUGCUCAUUUCCCUGUAACAUUAAAUCCAUUACUACUUUCA